ACUAACAGGAUUCUCUUAGUAACGGCGAGUGAAAAGAGAUUAGCCCAACAUCGAAGCCUCCAUGCUUUUGUGUGGACGGCAAUGUGAUGUAAUGGUGUUUGACUUCGCAGAUUGGCUAACUUGAAGUCCAUAUUUGACUGUGGCUUGUGCGUAUGCACCCAGAGAUGGUGAAAGGCCCGUUCAGGUUGGUUUUCAGAUAUGACAGUUUGCGUAGAUUCAUUCACCAAAGAGUCGGAUUGCUUGAGAUUGCAGUCCAAAUAUGGUGGUAAACUCCAUCAAAGGCUAAAUACCUGUACGAGUCCGAUAGACAACAAGUACCGUGAGGGAAAGUUGAAAAGUACUCUGAAGAGAGAGUAAAUAGUACGUGAAACUACAUGGAGGUUAAACAGAUGGAGUCAAGCUGCGU
rnacentral:rRNA from 1 species